rnacentral:rRNA from 1 species
GACGAACGCUGGCGGCGUGCCUAAUACAUGCAAGUCGAACGCUGAAGGAGGAGCUUGCUUCUCUGGAUGAGUUGCGAACGGGUGAGUAACGCGUAGGUAACCUGCCUGGUAGCGGGGGAUAACUAUUGGAAACGAUAGCUAAUACCGCAUAAGAGUAGAUGUUGCAUGACAUUUGCUUAAAAGGUGCAAUUGCAUCACUACCAGAUGGCCCUGCGUUGUAUUAGCUAGUUGGUGGGGUAACGGCUCACCAAGGCGACGAUACAUAGCCGACCUGAGAGGGUGAUCGGCCACACUGGGACUGAGACACGGCCCAGACUCCUACGGGAGGCAGCAGUAGGGAAUCUUCGGCAAUGGACGGAAGUCUGACCGAGCAACGCCGCGUGAGUGAAGAAGGGUGUCGGACCGUAAAGCUCUGUUGUAAGAGAAGAACGAGUGUGAGAGUGGAAAGUUCACACUGUGACGGUAGCUUAACAGAAAGGGACGGCUAACUACGUG